rnacentral:hammerhead_ribozyme from 1 species
ACCUAGUUGAAGAAUCUUAAAUAGGACGGAAGGCGCGUCCUGGGU